rfam:Danio rerio chromosome 4, GRCz11 reference primary assembly.
ACUUCGAUAGCUCAGUUGGUAGAGUGUGGGACUGUAGGACCAAUUCUUAGGUCGCAGGUUCGAUUCCAGCUCAAAGGA